rnacentral:lncRNA from 1 species
AGGGGCGAGGAUGUUUCGCCAGCCUGUCAGCGUCUCGUUAAAGCUCUCGCAGGGGAAUGCACAGCACGCGGGGAAGGAGAAGGGGGCGAGGGAGACGGGGGACCGAUGCCAGAGACUACGUAAAUCACGGAACAGGAAGUUAUUCCAGAAGCUGCUUCGCCAGCAGCUGGUAGUUUAUCUGCCGGCAUUGACAGGAAUCCAAAGAGGAAAGCCUGGGAACAUAGCGCACCAAGAUGUCCAACUGGAAAGGCUGCAGCAUGAUGUCGUGUUACUGUUGGCUCUCCUGAUCUUCUCCAGCGAGGCCAACCAGGAGAUCCUGCGAAGUAUCAGGAACCCAGGGCCACAAGUGGAAGUUCGGAUGACCUGAAACUAUGAGCUCCUGCUGCCCCCUGACCCCACGCAGGUGCUAUUCACAGCGCACGCUCUAGAUGACACCAAGUGAGAUCUAUCUGCAGCUUUGAACCAACGCUAUGAGAUGGACCCGAUGUAAGUUUAAUUACCUACUGUUGAUAGCCUGAGACAUCACUUCUCGCCAGCGGCUCAGAUGACUAUUAUUAAAUAAAAAAUUCUCCGUUUCACCUUGGCAUAACCCAAGUCAGAUUAUCGCACACAAAA